rnacentral:rRNA from 1 species
GACGAACGCUGGCGGCGUGCCUAAUACAUGCAAGUCGAACGCUUCUUUCCUCCCGAGUGCUUGCACUCAAUUGGAAAGAGGAGUGGCGGACGGGUGAGUAACACGUGGGUAACCUACCCAUCAGAGGGGGAUAACACUUGGAAACAGGUGCUAAUACCGCAUAACAGUUUAUGUCGCAUGGCAUAAGAGUGAAAGGCGCUUUCGGGUGUCGUUGAUGGAUGGACCCGCGGUGCAUUAGCUAGUUGGUGAGGUAACGGCUCACCAAGGCCACGAUGCAUAGCCGACCUGAGAGGGUGAUCGGCCACACUGGGACUGAGACACGGCCCAGACUCCUACGGGAGGCAGCAGUAGGGAAUCUUCGGCAAUGGACGAAAGUCUGACCGAGCAACGCCGCGUGAGUGAAGAAGGUUUUCGGAUCGUAAAACUCUGUUGUUAGAGAAGAACAAGGACGUUAGUAACUGAACGUCCCCUGACGGUAUCUAACCAGAAAGCCACGGCUAACUACGUG